rnacentral:rRNA from 1 species
CCUACGGGUGGCAGCAGUGAGGAAUAUUGGUCAAUGGACGCAAGUCUGAACCAGCCAUGCCGCGUGCAGGAAGACGGCUCUAUGAGUUGUAAACUGCUUUUGUACGAGGGUAAACGCAGAUACGCGUAUCUGUCUGAAAGUAUCGUACGAAUAAGGAUCGGCUAACUCCGUGCCAGCAGCCGCGGUAAUACGGAGGAUUCAAGCGUUAUCCGGAUUUAUUGGGUUUAAAGGGUGCGUAGGCGGUCUGAUAAGUUAGAGGUGAAAUCCCGAGGCUCAACUUCGGAAUUGCCGCUGAUACUGUUGGGCUAGAGAGUAGUUGCGGUAGGCGGAAUGUGUGGUGUAGCGGUGAAAUGCUUAGAGAUCAUACAGAACACCGAUUGCGAAGGCAGCUUACUAAGCCACUUCUGACGUUGAGGCACGAAAGCGUGGGGAGCAAACAGGAUUAGAUACCCGUGUAGUC